rnacentral:rRNA from 15 species
GAGUGCGAUAAUACCACCACUAAAGCACCAGAUCCCAUCAGAACUCUAAUUUUAAGCGUGCUUGGGUGAGAGUAGUACUAGGAUGGGUGACCCCCUGGGAAGACCUCGUUGUUGCACUCC